GCAGGUGUGAUGUAACUGGCAACAUGAGGCUUUCGUAAAGCUUUCAUGCGAGUUCAAAUCUCGCCGCUUGCUCCA
rnacentral:tRNA from 1 species